rnacentral:rRNA from 1 species
CUAGCGUUGCUCGGAAUCACUGGGCGUAAAGGGUGCGUAGGCGGGGCUUUAAGUCAGGGGUGAAAUCCUGGAGCUCAACUCCAGAACUGCCUUUGAUACUGAGGAUCUUGAGUACGGGAGAGGUGAGUGGAACUGCGAGUGUAGAGGUGAAAUUCGUAGAUAUUCGCAAGAACACCAGUGGCGAAGGCGGCUCACUGGCCCGUAACUGACGCUGAGGCACGAAAGCGUGGGGAGCAAACAGG